GACGAACGCUGGCGGCGUGCUUAACACAUGCAAGUCGAACGGUAAGGCCCUUCGGGGUACACGAGUGGCGAACGGGUGAGUAACACGUGGGUGAUCUGCCCUGCACUUCGGGAUAAGCCUGGGAAACUGGGUCUAAUACCGGAUAGGACCACUGCCUGCAGGGGGGGUGGUGGAAAGCUUUUGCGGUGUGGGAUGGGCCCGCGGCCUAUCAGCUUGUUGGUGGGGUGAUGGCCUACCAAGGCGACGACGGGUAGCCGGCCAGAGAGGGUGACCGGCCACACUGGGACUGAGAUACGGCCCAGACUCCUACGGGAGGCAGCAGUGGGGAAUAUUGCACAAUGGGCGCAAGCCUGAUGCAGCGACGCCGCGUGAGGGAUGACGGCCUUCGGGUUGUAAACCUCUUUCAGCACCGACGAAGCGCAAGUGACGGUAGGUGCAGAAGAAGGACCGGCCAACUACGUGCCAGCCGCCGCAGUAA
rnacentral:rRNA from 1 species